rnacentral:rRNA from 1 species
CUCAGUUCGGAUUGGAGUCUGCAACCCGACUCCAUGAAGCUGGAUUCGCUAGUAAUCGCGCAUCAGCCACGGCGCGGUGAAUACGUUCCCGGGCCUUGUACACACCGCCCGUCAAGCCACGGAAGCCGGGAGUGCCUGAAGUGCGUGAGCGCAAGCAGCGCCCUAAGGUAAAACCGGUGACUGGGGCUAAGUCGUAACAAGGUAAC